ensembl:lncRNA
GUAGUCAUGAAAACUGUGGCUUUUAAUGUAAACACUACAUUCGAUUGGUAUUCCAGCACGAACAUCCCACAUGAAAGAACAACCAUUCCCUAAAGAGGAGGGAGAAAAAGCAGCACGGAAAAGCAUUUACUGGGAUAAAAAAAUGGAGGAAAAAGGAGGGGAUCAAAAGAAAAAGAAUGCCAAACUGGUAUAUGUAAUAAUACACAGUAUUCUUUAAAAACAUUUAAAUCAAGAAGGCAGAUAGGGAGGAGAGAUACAUCUUUCCAAAUCUAUGUGUGAAGUGAGAGCUGUGCUUUUCUAUGCAGACCUGGAAGGUGUUUGAGUACAAUUCCCCCAAAAUAAAAGAAAGCGCAUGAAUCUGUACAGCCGCGUACACACACCGCCCUUAACAGCAAUGGGACAGGACGUGCUCCAAAGUGGUUCUUCCAAAAUAACAAAAUAAAAAAAAUAGAUAUUAUAUAUAUAUAUAUAUAUAAGUCAGGCUAAGUAAAGACACUGUAAUGCAGGGAGAACAGGCAGAAAUAAUCAGUACAGUUCAUAAACAUCAGUAAGUCAGUAAAAACGGUUCAAGUGUUGAUCACGGGAACCCUUGCCAAACAUUUUUUUUAAAAGGGGGAAAGAAAAAAAUGUUCUGUAGCUACAAAGCACAAGAAAUAUACUUCAAUAAUAUUACAGAAUCAUCAUUAUCAUUGAUAUUGUAAUUAUAAUCAUCAUCAUUUUCUGCAUUGUUAUUAUUGUCAUAAUCAUACUUUUUUGUUAAUUCUUUCUUCAAUAGAUCCACAUUGUAAAGAUUUUAGAACCCAAGGAUCUACAGCUUUCUACCAAGACACAGUCCAAUGACCCUUGACCUCAAAUCUCCACAUUUACUGGUAACACCCAGUCCAUAUGAUGGUUGUCUCUUUAUGUCGCUGUUGUCUUUUUUCUUUCGUUUUCCCAUUUCUUUUACCUUUUUUGUGGAUUUUGUAGGAUUUUUUCUCAACGUUUUCUAUGUGACGCGUUUAACUCCCUCUUUUUAUUUUUAUUAUUAUUUUUAUACAAAGGCUGAAGGGUUGCUCAUGCUAUUUGUGUCAGGAGGCGUGACGGGAGACACCACUACCCAGCUAAUGGCCAACCCAAAACAAUUAAACGAGAGGUGAGAGAGGUGGGUGCUAGAAAAAUAAAAAGAUGAGUGGAGGAAUAAAGUACAAAGUGUGUGGUGAGUGCAGAGGUGGUGUGUGGGACAGACGAUAAAUAAAUAAAUUAAUAAAUGAUCAUAAAAAAGUAUAAGUUCCUUACAUGAUCAUGUUAAUAGGUAUUCAUUACAGUAACAAAGUGUUCCUAGGACUAUCUCCAAACCUGUCAUUCUCCUGGGGUUGGCACUGAUAUGACACUUUUCAGAUAUCCGGUUCAGAGGCUUUGGGUCACACGCUGUGACUCCCCGCUCCAUAAUCCACACAGCCAAUGGCAAAGGCCCACCGGAGUGACAGGAAGGGAUGGGUGGAAAAAGGGUGCAUCAAUCCUGGGUGUUUCCUUUUAACUAAAUGAUCAAAUAGCUGAACAGAACUUCCAGGAUUACCAUGAAAACCCAGUCUGGUACAAAAGAAAGAAACUGAUAUUGACUGUCGUACUCAUGACCAUCAUACCUAUCAUAGCCAUUGUUAGAGCUAGAACAGUUUUCAGCAUAAUUACAACAGUAAUAUACUCAGGCAAAUGUGUACAGGUCACCCAUGGACUGAUAUUCAUGUAAUAAAUAUAGACAUGAUAAACAUAAAAAAAAUACAAAAACAUUAUGAAAAACAAAGUUGUUUUGUUAAAAACAAAAAGACAGUCGGGAAGGAAAAAAAAAAAAACAUUAAACGAGUUCUCAACUUUGUUCUAAAAUUUUAAAGGCUGGGUUUCUAUAAGAAAUCAGUUCUGUUGGCAGCUCUUCGAAGACAAACUAAAAACAAUGGGACCAUACUUGCGAACAUUAAAACAUUUACAUUUAAAUCCACACCAGUCAAAUAAAAUCAUUGAUGUAGUUGCACGUGAUAGAACGCUACUUGUUAGCUUUUCCCAUUAGAUAACCUGGCAUAUUUAGCCCUAUGCUAACAUCACCAGCAGGACAUGAUUAUUUUCUGUAACAAAUUCUGUAUCAGCCAAUUACCAAUGUUGACAUAGUUGGACGUGACCAAACACUUUUUCAUGCGAGCAUCCUUAACAGAAGUCACACGUUGAUCUGCUAAUCAAAGUUACUAAAACACACAUAAAAGUUCAAUUGGACAGAUAGCUCACUGUUGUGAUCUUGGCUUCUGGUAAUUUUCAUUGUUUGCAGCAAGUUCGAAUUCCAGGUGAGGUAUAGUUUUUUUCCUUUAAAAUGUUUAAUUAAAUUUAUUGUGAUGUAAGGGUGCAGCCAAAACCUUGUAAAUUACAAAUAUAUUUAAUGAGAAGCUUCUUGGAGUCCCUCUUGCAGACUGACACACUGUUAUACAGGAGUGAGACAGCAUCGUGAGGAAGGCGCAGCAGCACCUCUUCAACCUCAGGAGGCUGAAGAAAUUCGGCUUGUCACCAAAAGCACUCACAAACUUCUACAGAUGCACAAUCGAGAGCAUCCUCGCGGGCUGUAUCACCGCCUGGUAUGGCAACUGCACCGCCCUCAACCGUAAGGCUCUCCAGAGGGUAGUGAGGUCUGCACAACGCAUCACCGGGGGCAAACUACCUGCCCUCCAGGACACCUACACCACCCGAUGCUACAGGAAGGCCAUAAAGAUCAUCAAGGACAUCAACCACCCGAGCCACUGCCUGUUCACCCCGCUGUCAUCCAGAAGGCGAGGUCAGUACAGGUGCAUCAAAGCUG